GUCAAUCAUUAUUCGUAAAAUAUCCUUUAUAGACAUCAUCUGCACACCAGAGCCUUAUUUUAGUUUCAACAACGAGCGAGACAACAUGAACGUUUACUGUAUCCAGACUGAACAUGGACUCAAGGAACGCGUGAGUGUAGUUCUCAGUAUUUCAUUUAAAUAAAUGAGAAUACUAUACAGCUAACAAAUGUUUCUGGUUUGAGUGAAAAAGAAAAGACCAUUCACCUGUCGAGAGUGUGGGAAAACGUUUUCCCGAAAAGAUAACCUUUCCCGACACAUGCGUUGCACUCAUGAGAGGGAGCAACCACAUGUUUGCGAUAGGUGCAGUAAAUCAUUCACAAGACAUGAGAAGUUGAAACAACACACAUGUGCCCUAUCGCAGCGACGACUAUCAGAAUAUCGAUGUAGCAAAUGCCCCGAGGUGUUCCCCUCUCCCCAUGACUUGACAGUGCAUUUUCGACGGUUUCACUCUAGUGACGCAUCACAGGCGUCACGUGAUGAUGCACAGCCGUCUACCUCGAGAGGAGUGUCGAUUAGUGAGGG